UUAUAGACGUGAGCCACCGGCCUCCUCCAUAUGAAUUUGAAAGUCCUUUUGUCAAGUUCUCCUAGAACUUCUUUUGGGAUUUUCAUUAUAAUUGCUUUGAAUUGACAUCUUUACAAUAUUAGCUAUUGUAAAUUUAUUACUAGUUUAGUAUUACUGUUAGUAAACGAAUAUUAGUUUACUGUUACAGUAUAAACUAUUGUAAAGUAUUAACUAGUUCUAUCCAUGAAUAGAAAAAAAAUCCCAUAAAAUACCUAUCAAAUAACAGCAAUCAUUGACAAAACUAAAUACUAGUUUUUUGAAAAGAAUAUUAGAAUACUUUUAGGAGUACAGAAAACGAAAAAUUUUGAGAGCUUUUGUUACAGUUGUUUAAAUGAGAAUGUAUACAUUCUUAGAUCACUUCUUAAAUACAUUAUGGUUCUUAUUGGUAUAGAUGAUAUAUUCUGGUUGAAAUUGUUUCCAGCACUUUUGAAGAACUUCUUUUUAAGUUAAUCCUAGUAAGUCUUCUGAGUUUUUCCUCUGUUACUGAUUGUAUCAUCUGCAAAUAAGGAGAAAUUUGUCUCUUUCAGUUCUUAUUAUUUUAAUUUUUUCUGUUGCCUGUCUUGUUUAGUCAAGAUCCCUGGUACUAUGUUGAACAAUUCUAGUAAUGUCAUACUUGCCUUGCCCCAUUAAGUAUAAUGUUUGCUGUUGGUAUUGUUAGAUAGUUUUUAUCAAGUUAAGUAAAUUCCCUUCUACUCCCAUAUUCAGAGUUUUGUUGUUUUUUUUUAAGAUGGGGUCUCACUCUGUCACCCAAGCCAGAGUGCAGUGGGGCAGACACUGCUCACUGCAGCCUCCACCUCCUGGGCUGAAGCAAUCCUCUUACCUCAGCCUCCCAAGUAGCUGGGACCACAGGUGUGUGCCACCAUGCCUGGCUUAUUUUUUUGUAUUUUUUUUUUAUAGAUGGGGUCAUGCCAUGUUGCCCAGUUUGGUCUCAAACUCCUGGGCUCAAGCAGUCCUCUUACCUCAGCUCCCCAAAGUGCUGGGAUUAUAAUAGUGAGCCACCACGCCUGACCUAUAUUCUGUUUUUAUAUUUAACUUAUCACAUGCUUUCAUUGCAUGUAUUUAAUAGACAAGUUCAUUUUUUUCAUUCUUUAAUGCAAUAAGUAAUACUAAUGGAUUUUCUGUGAACCAUCUGCAUUUCUGUAAUGAACUCUAGUUGAUUGCAAUAUGUCUAUUUGCUUUUAUAUACCAUUGGAUUCAAUUGGUCAAUAUUUUAUUUAGGAUUUUACAUUUGUGAAUCUUGGCCUGUAACCUUUUCAUGUACUCUUAUUACCCAGUUAUAAUAUCAAGGUUCUAUUGGCCUCAUAAAAUAAGUUGGGUAUCUUCUUUUUUUUUUCUCCUAGAAAAAUUUGUGUAGGUAGAUGUUAUCUGCUCUUGAAAGUAAGGUAGAACUUGGUAAAACCAUUAGAUGGCUUGCGGUGGAUGAGGGAAAGUUUUGAUUGCCAUUCUGCUAUCUUUAUUGGUUUUCUUUCUUUCUUGUGUUUUGUUAAUGUUUCUAAAAGUUUAUGAAACUUUAAUAAUCUUUUCAAAGAACCAGUAGUUUUGUCAGUGAUUGUUGUACUUAUGAACUAUUUUAUUGGUUUUUCUUUGAUUAGGGUGAUUUAUUUUUUGACUCUUUUUCUAGCUUCUUGAAUGUUUAGCUCAUAUUUAUGUGUAUUCAAAGCUAUAAAAGUCUCUCUUAGGUCCAUUUUAGCUAUACCCCACAACUUUAGACAUAUAGUGUUGUCAUGUCUGGCUGUAGGUAUUUUGUAAUUUCUCUAUUUUGUUAACAUAGGAUUGUUUUUCUUAGUUUCCAGAUGUGGAAUUAUUUUUAAUUGCUAUAUGAUAUUUUAAAUUUUAAAUGUUAUUAAGAGAUACGUAGAGGAUACAUAUAGUCUAUGUGAUGUUGAUUCUUUCUGAUUUUUUUGCAUCCAUUAUUGCUAUUCAAGUCUGUGCCAGCCUGAUUCUUGUUCCUUUUUGGUAAUCUUCUUUUCUCCCUCAAAGCUUUUUAGAAGGUUUCUUUAUAUUUGACAUUUUAAAAUUUGCUAACCUAUAUCUAGAUGUGAGUUUUUUUCUUAUGUACCUUAAUUUGUCAUCUUACAACUGAGGACUUACACCUUAAAUUCUGAGAAAUCCUUAGUUUUUAUUUUUCUUUAUGCAUUUUCCCCUCUAUUUGUUUAUUUCUAUUUUCCUGGGACCUAGAUGAAUACUGACACUUACAUUACAGUCCUCCAUAUCAGCUUUCUUCUUGGUGUCCAUGGAGGACUGAUUCCAGGACCUUCCCUCAGAGAGCAAAAUCCACAGAUACUUGAUUCCCUUAUAUACAGUGGUGUAGUAUUUGCAUAUAACUUACACACAUCCUCCCGUGACUUUAAAUCAUUUAUAAUACCUAAUACAAUGUAGUGCUAUGUAAAUAGUUGUUCUAUUACAUUGUUUAGAGAAUAAUGACAAGAACAAAAAUCUGUGUGUUCAGUAUAGACACAACCAUCCUUUUCUUUUUUUUUUUUUUUUGAGACAGAGUCUCGCUCUUGUUGCCCAGGCUGGAGUGCAAGGGUGCGAUCUCAGCUCACCGCAACCUCCGCCUCCCGGGUUCAAGCAAUUCUCCUGCCUCAGCCUCCCGAGUAGCUGGGAUCACAGGCAUGUGCCACCACGCCCGGCUCUUUUUGUAUUUUUAGUAGAGACGAGGGUUCUCCAUGUUGGUCAGGCUGGUCUCGAACUCCCGACCUCAGGUGAUCCUCCCGCCUCAGCUUCCCAAAGUGCUGGGAUUACAGAUGUGAGCCACCAUGCCCGGCACAACCAUCCAUUUUCAAAUAAUACCUAGAUUAUUUAUGAUACUUAAUACAUUUAUGUGUUUGUAACACCUACUACAAUGUAAAUGCUAUGUAAAUAGUUAUGCUACGUUAUGUAGGGGAAUAAUGAGAAAAAAAGUCUGUACGUGUUCAAGAUAGAUACAACCAUCCAUUUUUUCCCCAGCAUUUUCAAUGCAUGGUUGGUUAAAUCCAUAGAUAUGAAGUGUAAUAUGUAUCAGGAUGAGGAGCUCAAUCACUUGCUGUCCUGUAGCUAUCAUUUCCCUGUAGUCUGUCCCUCAGAGAGCCUCACAUAUCUCACAGCAGGCAUACUCUUCCUGACCCACCAUCCUUAUAAACGUGCAGUCUGUAGGAUAAGGAGGGGAUGUCCAGGUUGACCAGCCUGCUGAUGUUUCUUGUUAUCAGCACCAUGUCCAGUGCUGCCCAACAGGCAUCCUGCUGUCUUCAGCUGUCACUGGCAUUGCUGCUUUUCUGCCACAGAAAGUAACAGAGUGGCUCAUGAUUUAAGCAUUGUAGAGGGUUGGAAGGAAAGUAAAGGAUGCAGCUGGAAAGUUCUUCCUUUGUCUAACCCUAUUGGUGCCACUUGGCCUACUAUGCUCUGUGUAUGCUCUGUGUAUCUCUUCCGUGCUGGUACUCUUUCACCUUCCGCUUCUCAGGGAUUUCUCAUCACUUUUGUGUUGAGUCCUGAGAUUCAGCAACCUCCUUCUUAUGGGACAUCUCCAGGGUUAAAUUGGGAAGUAAGAUGAUUUGUGUCCUCUUGAAUUUAACUCCAAGUGCCAUGGUGUAUUUUUGUGCCUUUCAUUAGCCAGUAAACACUUAUAACCCAAAGUUACGAUGAUUUAGGUAGAAAAUAAGCAAAAUGAUGUAUUCUUUUUUCCCUAAGACUUUGUUAUAACCUUGGAGUCAUUAACAGCUUAUUCUGGUUUUCUCAUUGUCUGUUUGUUUGAAGAAUGUGUACUAUAUAAAGAAUUUAUGCUCUUGAAAGAAUUAAAUUGACUCAGAAUAGGCAUUUGUAUUUGUGAGUCUAAGAUGAUACACUAGAGGUCAGUUUUUUAAAGAUGAUUUGUUUUUUUCUUUUUUUUUCUUGACAUUUAGAGUGAAGAUGAAAUCAGGACACUGAAACAGAAAAAAAUUGAUGAAACUUCUGAGCAGGAACAAAAACAUAAAGAAACCAACAAUAGCAAUGCUCAGAACCCCAGCGAAGAAGAGGGUGAAGGGCAAGAUGAGGACAUUUUACCUCUAACCCUUGAAGAGAAGGAAAACAAAGAAUACCUAAAAUCUCUAUUUGAAAUCUUGAUUCUGAUGGGAAAGCAAAACAUACCUCUGGAUGGACAUGAGGCUGAUGAAAUCCCAGAAGGUCUCUUUACUCCAGAUAACUUUCAGGCACUGCUGGAGUGUCGGAUAAAUUCUGGUGAAGAGGUUCUGAGAAAGCGGUUUGAGACAACAGCAGUUAACACGUUGUUUUGUUCAAAAACACAGCAGAGGCAGAUGCUAGAGAUCUGUGAGAGCUGUAUUCGAGAAGAAACUCUCAGGGAAGUGAGAGACUCACACUUCUUUUCCAUUAUCACUGACGAUGUAGUGGACAUAGCAGGGGAAGAGCACCUACCUGUGUUGGUGAGGUUUGUUGAUGAAUCUCAUAACCUAAGAGAGGAAUUUAUAGGCUUCCUGCCUUAUGAAGCCGAUGCAGAAAUUUUGGCUGUGAAAUUUCACACUAUGAUAACUGAGAAGUGGGGAUUAAAUAUGGAGUAUUGUCGUGGCCAGGCUUACAUUGUCUCUAGUGGAUUUUCUUCCAAAAUGAAAGUUGUUGCUUCUAGACUUUUAGAGAAAUAUCCCCAAGCUAUCUACACACUCUGCUCUUCCUGUGCCUUAAAUAUGUGGUUGGCAAAAUCAGUACCUGUUAUGGGAGUAUCUGUUGCAUUAGGAACAAUUGAGGAAGUUUGUUCUUUUUUCCAUCGAUCACCACAACUGCUUUUAGAACUUGACAACGUAAUUUCUGUUCUUUUUCAGAACAGUAAAGAAAGGGGUAAAGAACUGAAGGAAAUCUGCCAUUCUCAGUGGACAGGCAGGCAUGAUGCUUUUGAAAUUUUAGUGGAACUCCUGCAAGCACUUGUUUUAUGUCUAGAUGGUAUAAAUAGUGACACAAAUAUUAGAUGGAAUAACUAUAUAGCUGGCCGAGCAUUUGUACUCUGCAGUGCAGUGUCAGAUUUUGAUUUCAUUGUUACUAUUGUUGUUCUUAAAAAUGUCCUAUCUUUUACAAGAGCCUUUGGGAAAAACCUCCAGGGGCAAACCUCUGAUGUCUUCUUUGCAGCCGGUAGCUUGACUGCAGUACUGCAUUCACUCAACGAAGUGAUGGAAAAUAUUGAAGUUUAUCAUGAAUUUUGGUUUGAGGAAGCCACAAAUUUGGCAACCAAACUUGAUAUUCAAAUGAAACUCCCUGGGAAAUUCCGCAGAGCUCACCAGGGUAACUUGGAAUCUCAGCUAACCUCUGAGAGUUACUAUAAAGAAACCCUAAGUGUCCCAACAGUGGAGCACAUUAUUCAGGAACUUAAAGAUAUAUUCUCAGAACAGCACCUCAAAGCUCUUAAAUGCUUAUCUCUGGUACCCUCAGUCAUGGGACAACUCAAAUUCAAUACGUCGGAGGAACACCAUGCUGACAUGUAUAGAAGUGACUUACCCAAUCCUGACACGCUGUCAGCUGAGCUUCAUUGUUGGAGAAUCAAAUGGAAACACAGGGGGAAAGAUAUAGAGCUUCCGUCCACCAUCUAUGAAGCCCUCCACCUGCCUGACAUCAAGUUUUUUCCUAAUGUGUAUGCAUUGCUGAAGGUCCUGUGUAUUCUUCCUGUGAUGAAGGUUGAGAAUGAGCGGUAUGAAAAUGGACGAAAGCGUCUUAAAGCAUAUUUGAGGAACACUUUGACAGACCAAAGGUCAAGUAACUUGGCUUUGCUUAACAUAAAUUUUGAUAUAAAACACGACCUGGAUUUAAUGGUGGACACAUAUAUUAAACUCUAUACAAGUAAGUCAGAGCUUCCUACAGAUAAUUCCGAAACUGUGGAAAAUACCUAAGAGACUUUUAAAAAUAGGCUUUCUUAUAUUUGAUAUUUGGAAGAAAAAGCCGUAAGGUGUAUGUAGGCCACUUAAUCACUAAAUAUCUUUGCCUAUAGGACUCCAUUGAAUACAUUAGCCAUUGAUAAUCUACCUGUUUAAAUGGCCCCUGUUUGAACUCUCAAGCUUUGAAGACCUACCUGUUCUUCCAGAAGAGAACGUUGAAAGUGCCAUGUUUCCUUUUGCGUGAUCUCUGUUGAUGGCACUCUGGAAUUGUUUCAGUUAAGUCAUUUUAGACACAGCAUUUAUUAUCACUGUGGAUCUCUACUUGUUGGGUGUUAUGAAUUCUUUGAAGAAAUAUAUUUUGAAGAGGUGUGGGAGGAAGGAAUACAUUUUAUAAAAUGUUAUAGUGAAGCCCACAAUUGACCUUUGACUAAUAGGAGUUUUAAGUAUGUUAAAAAUCUAUACUGGACAGUUACAAGAAAUUACCGGAGAAAAGCUUGUGAGCUCACCAAACAAGGAUUUCAGUGUAGAUUUUGUCUUUCUUGAACUUAAAGAAACAAAUGACAAAGUUUGAAUGGAAAAGCCUGCUGUUGUUCCACAUCUCGUUGCUGUUUACAUUCCUUUGUGGAGCCUACAUCUUCCUAAGCUUUUUAGCAGGUAUAUGUUGAACACUUCUGUUUCAUGGUUGAGACAGAAUCAGAGGCCAUGGAUACUGACAACUGAUUUGUCUGUUUUUUUUCUCUGUCUUUUUCCAUGACUCUUAUAUACUGCCUCAUCUUGAUUUAUAAGCAAAACCUGGAAAACCUACAAAAUAAGUGUUGUGGUUUAUCUAGAAAAAUAUGGAAAAUAUUGCUGUUAUUUUUGGUGAAGAAAAUCAAUUUUGUAUAGUUUAUUUCAAUCUAAAUAAAAUGUGAAUUUUGUUUAAA
rnacentral:sRNA from 1 species